ACGCGCGGCGGGGCGGGGCCAGCCGGGGCGGGGGCAGCGGCGGCAGAGGAGGCCGGAAGCGGUCGGGCGGCGCGGCGAUGGAGUCGGGCGCAUCGGCGAUGGAUGAGCCCUCUGAGUCCGGCGCCUCAGCGUCGGGCGGCUCGGCGUCGGGCGGCUCGGCGGACAACGCGCCCAUCAAGGGCAUCCUCAAAAAGAACGGCGGCAAAGCACCGGUGGAUGGAGCGGCCCCCGGGGCGCGGCGGGUCACGUCGGCCCGCGACGAAGAUGAGCACGGUAAAAAAUCUCAGAAGUGGGAUGAAAUGAACAUCAUAGCUACGUACCACCCAGCAGGGAAAGAUUAUGGCUUGAUGAAAAUAGAUGAGCCAGCUACUCCUUAUCACAGCAUGGUAGGAGAAGAUGACGAGGAUGCAGUGAGUGAUACAGAAGCAAAUGAGCCCGUAAGAGCAGAUGUGUUGAGUAAAAAACUGGCAGCUGCAGCUGAAGGUAAAGGACCCAAGAUUAUGGCAAAGCAAGAGGAAAGCAGUGAGGAGGAGGAAGAAGAUGAAGAAUUAACACCUGAAGAACGAGAAAAAAAGAAACAGUUUGAAAUGAAGAGAAAAAUGCACUACAAUGAAGGACGAAACAUCAAACUGGCAAGACAGCUCAUUGCAAAAGAACUACAUGGUGAAGAGGAUGAUGAUGAUGAGGAUGAAGAGAUGCACAAUGCUGCAGAUGUAGAAACAAUGAAUACAGAAGUUGCCGACCAUGGGGAAAGGAGGGCUCCAAUAGGCAACUUUAUGACCUUUCUCCGUGGCUUGAAGCUGCCAUCCUUCUGCACUCUGCUGUAAAACAGAGGCAACUCCGCUCGCCAGCUGCAUUCACCAGUGGAAAGAAGGCCCACCUUUGCAGCAUUUUUCCAUCUCUAUUGUUGAAGUCCAUUCCACCUUCCUUCAUAACCAGCUUCAGAGCCACCACUGACUGAGAUUUCUUGCUGAUUGAAAUGAAGAUGGCCAGUCCAGUCAGUAAUGCACAUGCUACUUGUGACCAGCUGGGAAGUAGAGUACGCAGCAUAGAAGAAAUCUGUCCAGAACUGUAACUGCUUGUCAAGGACACAAAUAUAAACACCGCUUCACAAUUUUUGCUAUUAAGGCUCUUAAAUAUUGAGAAGCAUAUCAGUUACCAUGUUGUAUUGCCAAGAAUGUUUAUUUUAGACUUGUCUGUUAGGCAGGAAAAAACCUGUCUAAUUGAUUUUCUUGUGCCUAGUAUUUCAUGGAGAAUACUGCUUCAUAAUCUGUUCAACCAGAAUGGCGUUCCCUCUAUGUAUAACGCUGAUUAUCUUGCGUAAUGUACUGUUAACUCUUCACGCUUUGAAACAGUAUCUUUUGGGUUUUCACUAUUUAUUUGGCAGUGUUCUAGGUGUGGUGUCUCUUAUAGAAAGGUUUUGGAUUCAAGAGCUAAACGGUACAGCAUAUAUCAGAUUAACAUGCAAGCUAUUUAUCAGAUGUGUUAUGCGGUUUAAAAAGGGAUUAUUUAAGUCUUACAACUUUUUUGUAAAGUGUGGACCUGUUAAUUUAGAUUUCAGUAUGUUAUUACCUGUGCUUUCCCCAUCUUUAGAAGAACUGUAUUAUUUUUUGAGUGGUGUUUGGAAUCAGUUGUUAUUUUCUGACUAAGGCAGUACUAACAUCUGGUGGAGGGAAUGUUUUUACACUGGAAAUGUGCUAACUUGAACUUUGCAUUUAACUGUCAUUAUCUCUUCCAUCGGGACUGGAUGUUCUGUGGAGCUCUCCUUGGCUUAUCAUGAGAAUGUGGAUGUUCCCUCCAGUUUUUCUCUUAAAACCACGUGUACUGUCACUCUUCUGGCUCUUGUUUCAAACUUUUGGUCCUUUCAAGUUGCAUGAAGAGUGCUUGUGCUACUAGCAUCUGAGGAGAAAACACCCAAUUAUGAGCAAAACCACAUCAGGACUGUGAAGAUGAGCUGAGUUUAGGCUCUGGUUGUUCUUUACACAAAGAUAACUGCCUCUGAUCUCAUCUGGGGUUGGCAACCUGCAUAUUGAAAACUGCUGGUCUAAAUCUUCCUAUAUCCAUUGCAACUGACAGCAGCUGGUUUUGUAAAGUGAAGGCUCUUUGGAAAAAUAGAAGCGAAACUCCUUAACUCAAAUACUUGCCUACAGUAUGGUUGUACAGUCCCUGUAAAGAGGGAUUCUGAACCUGCAAAUUGCUGUAAACAACUUUCCACUUGGUGAAAUCUGACUGGUGAAUGUUCCAGUAUUCAGAGUAGUUUCUGGGAUUUAUUACACAAAUGAAGUAUACACUUAAGCUUUAGCUUGAUUAUGGAAUAUAGUGUAUAUCUUAAUUUUGAUCUGAAUUUGAUAUGUUGCAAAAAUCCAUAUAAUCAUAUGGAUCUGUUUUAAAAUGUCUUUUUGUCCACUGUACAUGUGAAGUUUGAAUAAAGGAAUGAAAGUUAUUUUACAGUUA